rnacentral:rRNA from 1 species
UACCUGGUUGAUCCUGCCAGUAGCAUAUGCUUGUCUCAAAGAUUAAGCCAUGCAUGUCUAAGUACAAGCCGCUAGUCGGCGAAACCGCGAAUGGCUCAAUAAAUCAGUUAUGGUUCCUUAGAUCCACUCCAUCCUACUUGGAUAACUGUGGUAAUUCUAGAGCUAAUACAUGCACUCGAGCCUCGACGGCCGCCAGUCGCAAGGCGAACGGUCGAAGAGGUGCUUUUAUUAGAUCAAAACCAGUCGGGCACUCACUGUCGUGGUCGGCCGUCAAAACGCCGCGCCACUUCAGCCGAGAACCGUACCAAAUUUUGGUGACUCUGGAUAACUUCACGCCGAUCGCACGGCCUUCGAGCCGGCGACGCAUCUUUCAAAUGUCUGCCUUAUCAACUGUCGAUGGUAGGUUACGCGCCUACCAUGGUUGCAACGGGUAACGGGGAAUCGGGGUUCGAUUCCGGAGAGGGAGCCUGAGAAACGGCUACCACAUCCAAGGAAGGCAGCAGGCGCGCAAAUUACCCACUCCCGGCACGGGGAGGUAGUGACGAAAAAUAACGAUACGGGACUCUUCCGAGGCCCCGUGAUUGGAAUGAGUACACUUUAAAUCCUUUAACGAGGAAACCUUGGAGGGCAAGUCUGGUGCCAGCAGCCGCGGUAACUCCAGCUCCAAUAGCGUAUAUUAAAGUUGUUGCGGUUAAAAAGCUCGUAGUCGGAUGUCUGUCUUCGGCCGGGCGGCGCCGCUCUGAAUCAAGGGUGCGCGUUUCACGCUCUGGGAGUCGGGUGUCAAAGCUCGACUCUCUUCGCGGUCGGACAACAUCGCCGGAGUGGUGGUCGGUGGGCUUCCCGUCUGGCUCGGGGCUCUUCGGUUCUCUGCUGGGUCUUUCUAUCGAAGCGGGGGACCGGGGGUCACUCCUGGGUCGCUCGCUCCACCCGAUUCAAUCGUCCGGGGUGCCCUUCACCGGGUGUCUCGGGCGGCCGGCAACGUUUACUUUGAACAAAUUAGAGUGCUCAAAGCAGGUGUAUCCCAACGCCUGAAUAUCGCAGCAUGGAAUGAUGGAAUAGGACCUCGGUCCGAUUUUGCUGGUCUUUAUACUUUUGGACCCGAGGUAAUGGUCAAUAGAGACGGACGGGGGCAUUCGUACUGCGGCGACAGAGGUGAAAUUCUUGGACCGCCGCAAGACGAACAACAGCGAAGGCAUUUGCCAAGAAUGUUUUCCUUGAUCAAGAACGAAAGUUAGAGGUUCGAAGGCGAUCAGAUACCGCCCUAGUUCUAACCAUAAACGAUGCCAACCAGCAAUCCGUCGGAGUUACUCCAAUGACUCGACGGGCAGCUUCCGGGAAACCAAAGUCUUUGGGUUCCGGGGGAAGUAUGGUUGCAAAGCUGAAACUUAAAGGAAUUGACGGAAGGGCACCACCAGGAGUGGAGCCUGCGGCUUAAUUUGACUCAACACGGGAAACCUCACCAGGCCCGGACACUGGAAGGAUUGACAGAUUGAGAGCUCUUUCUUGAUUCGGUGGGUGGUGGUGCAUGGCCGUUCUUAGUUGGUGAAGCGAUUUGUCUGGUUAAUUCCGAUAACGAACGAGACUCUAGCCUGCUAAAUAGGUGACGGGUUUUAUCAAUUGAAACCGAAGGGAGUAUGGAGGCGUCGGGAUCCGGUGGCGGCGGAUUCGGGGCGGGCGGUGGUCGUCGAUUUUUUCCCUUCGUCGGAGCUUCGAGGCUUUGUGCGCGCGUUUCGCGUUUCGGUGACGGUUUCGGCCGGCUGCCGUGCGCGCGGCGUGUGUGCGGGUCGCGGAGUGACGGCGGUGGGGAGUCGGCGAUCGCUCUCGUCUCGGCUGUCGUCAUCCCCGGCGAUUUCUCCUGCUCUCGCGUCCGUCACGACUCUUCUUAGAGGGACAAGCGGCGUCCAGCCGCGUGACAGUGAGCAAUAACAGGUCUGUGAUGCCCUUAGAUGUCCUGGGCCGCACGCGCGCUACACUGAAGGAAUCAGCGUGUUUCACUCUCCCUGUCCGAAAGGACCGGGUAACCGCUGAACCUCCUUCGUGGUUGGGAUUGGGGACUGCAAUGAUCCCCAUGAACCAGGAAUCCCUAGUAGGCGCGGGUCACUAGCCCGCGUCGAUUACGUCCCUGCCCUUUGUACACACCGCCCGUCGCUACUACCGAUUGAAUGAUUUAGUGAGGCCUUCGGACGGGCUUGUCGGGGUGCCGGCGUUCGGGGAGCAAUCUACGGCUGUCCGGCGCCUACCAACGGCGAGACUGAAAGAUGGACGAACUUGAUCCUUUAGAGGAAGUAAAAGUCGUAACAAGGUUUCCGUAGGUGAACCUGCAGAUGGAUCAUUA